AUGAACGCUGGCGGCGUGCCUCAUCCAUGCCAGUCGCGCGAACAGACGAGGAGCUUGCUCCUCUGACGUUAGCGGCGGACGGGUGAGUAACACGUGGAUAACCUACCUAUAAGACUGGGAUAACUUCGGGAAACCGGAGCUAAUACCGGAUAAUAUAUUGAACCGCAUGGUUCAAUAGUGAAAGACGGUUUUGCUGUCACUUAUAGAUGGAUCCGCGCCGCAUUAGCUAGUUGGUAAGGUAACGGCUUACCAAGGCGACGAUGCGUAGCCGACCUGAGAGGGUGAUCGGCCACACUGGAACUGAGACACGGUCCAGACUCCUACGGGAGGCAGCAGUAGGGAAUCUUCCGCAAUGGGCGAAAGCUUGACGGAGCAACGCCGCGUGAGUGAUGAAGGUCUUCGGAUCGUAAAACUCUGUUAUUAGGGAAGAACAAAUGUGUAAGUAACUAUGCACGUCUUGACGGUACCUAAUCAGAAAGCCACGGCUAACUACGUG
rnacentral:rRNA from 1 species